UACGGGAGCAGCAGUGGGGAAUAUUGCACAAUGGGCGCAAGCAUGAUCCAGCCAUGCCGCGUGAGUGAUGAAGGCCCUAGGGUUGUAAAGCUCUUUCACCGGUGAAGAUAAUGACGGUAACCGGAGAAGAAGCCCCGGCUAACUUCGUGCCAGCAGCCGCGGUAAUACGAAGGGGGCUAGCGUUGUUCGGAUUUACUGGGCGUAAAGCGCACGUAGGCGGACUUUUAAGUCAGGGGUGAAAUCCCGGGGUUCAACCCCGGAACUCCCUUUGAUACUGGAAGUCUGGAUUAUGGUAGAGGUGAGUGGAAUUCCGAGUGUAGAGGKGAAAUUCGUAGAUUUUCGGAGGAACACCAGUGGCGAAGGCGGCUCACUGGCCCAUUACUGACGUUGAGGUGCGAAAGCGUGGGGAGCAACCAGGAUUAGAUACCCUGGUAGUCCACGCCGUAAACGAUGAAUGUUAGCCGUUGGGGAGUUUACUCUUCGGUGGCGCAGCUAACGCAUAACCAUCCGCCUGGG
rnacentral:rRNA from 1 species